CAAUAGCGUAUAUUAAAGUUGUUGCGGUAAAAAAGCUCGUAGUUGGAUUUCUGUUGAGAACGUCCGGUCCACUCAACGAGUGCGCAUCUGGUUCGGUCUCGGCAUCCUCUCAAAAAACGACUCUGCGCUUGAUUGCGUGGAUCGGAGUUUGGGACUUUUACUUUGAGGAAAUUAGAGUGUUCACGGCAGGCUGUCGCCAGAAUACAUUAGCAUGGAAUAAUACUAUAGGAUCUUGAUCCUAUUUUGUUGGUUUCUAGGAGCAAGAUAAUGAUUAAUAGGGACAAUUGGGGGCAUUCGUAUCAACACGUCAGAGGUGGAAUUCUUGGAUUGUGUUGCGACGAACUACUGCGAAAGCAUUUGCCAAGGAUGUUUUCAUUGA
rnacentral:rRNA from 1 species